UUCUGAAUUCAAAGGAGAAAAUUGGAUCACAUACGGAUCGGACAACUGCUAGAACGACUACUAGGACUCCUCGUUCUACUCGUGCUACUAGAAUGACUCGUUUCAACUCUAUAUUUACAACUGCUAGAACGACUACUAGGACUCGUCGUGCUACUCGUGCUACUAGAACGACUCGUUUCAAGUCUAUAUUUGUAAGUAUACUCAGACACACCCACUUUAUCAGUACAAAAAGGUGCGAAAUUCAAAUUUUCUCUGGGAAUCAACUCUUCGCGCCUUUUUUUUAAAUUUUCCUCCGUUUUCUACUGACAAAGUGCCAGAGUGUUACUUCACUGCAAUAGUGUUUAGCUAGAAUACGAAAGCUAGUCCGACGUGUUUCAAUCCUAUCUUCUUCUUCUUCUUCUUUCCAUCCUGUUACCCCCUGCUGGGAUGUAGGGCUCGAAGCAUUCUCUUCCACUGACUCCGGUCCUGGGCAGCUUGGGUAACCUCCUCAUACCCCAUCCCCA